rnacentral:rRNA from 1 species
UACGUAGGGUGCGAGCGUUAAUCGGAAUUACUGGGCGUAAAGCGUGCGCAGGCGGUUAUUUAAGUCAGGUGUGAAAGCCCUGGGCUUAACCUAGGAAUGGCGCUUGAGACUGGAUAGCUUGGAGUGUGGCAGAGGGAGGUGGAAUUCCACGUGUAGCAGUGAAAAUGCGUAGAGAUGUGGAGGAACACCGAUGGCGAAGGCAGCCUCCUGGGCCAGCACUGACGCUCAUGCACGAAAGCGUGGGGAGCAAACAGG